GGUGGUGCACUAAGAGAAUUAUGACAACUCAAGAGUCAGGUUUGCACACUUCCUUUUAUUUUAUCUGACAGAAUUAUAUGUUUCUUGUUGUUUUUUUCUUCAGACAUUUUUAUAGUUCCCUAUACUGUUCCUCAUUCCUUCUGUCAUUUCCCAUGCAGCCACUCACCAGAUCAAGAGAAUACUUUUGAGACACUGCAACUGAGCGUAAUACACCUGAAGGAAUUCAGUAACUGUAGUAGCUGUUUGGACCGUGAUCAGAAUAAGGCAAUCUAAGAAAAGCAGAUGACAUAGAUAAAGUGUGAAAAUCACCAGGUCUUGUAGGUAUUUAUUGCCCAGAAACACCACCAUGUAAGGUGAGACUGAGGAGCACUCAGCGGUCAGAAUAGUGACACUACUGACACAUUAAUGCGUAUAAAACUACAGAAGAGUACUCAGAAAGUAUUUAUACAUGUAGACUCAAAAAUAGAAGUCAUUGCAUGUCCCUACCAUAAUCAACACCUUUCUGGCAAUGCUUAUUUCACCCAUAUUUUUACAGAGACAGAAUUUAUAAAUAUAUAUAUAUAUGUAUAUAUGACUUUUUUUUUUUUUUUUUUUUUUCAGAUUAAUACACUAGAAGUUAUUCCUAAGGAGUAUGGGUUGAAGCAAAUCUUUUUACACUUACACACCUUGCCUUCUAACAUCCUUGCCCUGCUCACUGAGUACAUUUUUUCUAGCCAUGGCUGAGGUUCCAUCCUCCUGGCUGUUGACAGCUCUCCAUGAUGAUCUGGACUGCUCCACUGACACAGAAAAUGGCAUCUGAUCUGCCAAACAGCACCUGACACAAGCGUGGUACUGGACUUUCUCCUGCCUCUUCUUGUAUUCUGGUGGAAUGGCUCAUAUUUCUUUCACUCAGUGUUGUAAGCAGGCAGUGGUAAAUCAGCUUUACAAGACCUCUGACUGACCAUGUGAACAUCUGGAUUUGCUCUCUGAAUUUUGAAUUUUUGAAUAUUUUGAAUUUUGGCUUGCUCUACCUGUCCAAGGAGUCUGCUACAUGAGACUGUCCUGAAGGUUCAGUCUGCAUGCUCUCUUCCCUCACUGUGCUUGCUUGUUUGCAGAGGUGGCACUGCUCAUGAUGGUGGGCUGCAGGAAGGAAAGCCCAUCUCUACAUCAUACUAGCCAUUUGAAAGCCAUUCCAGGAGUUCCAGGGACAAAGUCAUCUUGGACAGCAGGUCUCAACCUUGUGAUGAGGUUAACCACUGUUGUAUGCCACCAGAGGACUGUGGAUUGCUGCUGAAAAAAAAACAUUUUGAGCAACAGACACAAGGUAACAUUUACUGAGGAGGUUUGACCAUAGCUACAUGUUGACCCAUCCUACAUACAAGUGGACUUCUCUCUUUGAGAACCCAGAAAGAUAACCUUGCUAGCACCCCUACAACAUGAACAGCAAGAUCUCACAGCCUCCAUGACUUCAUGCUACACAGCAAGAAUGAAUGACUCUUUUGAGGAUUUUUUUUUUCCAUAAGCAAUACUACUGAGGAUUUUGCAGUCUUCCCUUUGAGGUAUUCCCAAAAGAUGUAUUCCAGUGCAGCACACACAUCCCAAUGAUGGGGAGAAAUAACACUGCAGGCUCUGGUGGUAAGGAUAAAGACAGACUUCUAAAUAACCAGGUUACAACCCCAAAAGCUUUAUUGUUGUUGUUUGUUUGCUUGUUUGGUGAUGGCGGUGGUGGAUUUGUUUUUUGUUU
rnacentral:lncRNA from 1 species